rnacentral:lncRNA from 1 species
AAGCAAACCACAGCUCCUAUGACGCUGUGUCCCCAGGAGCUGGACGACAGGGGCCUGAGGACAAAGAGUGGUCAGAUGUCCUUACCCCAACUGCAAGAGUCUAUUUAUGGAAUUUCUGCCUUCGCCUAAGGUUAUAAAGAACAUUACCUGUUCUCUAGUUUCUGCAGGUUAAGCUGAAUAACGACCCACCACUGGAAAGUGGACAGAUGUCUUACAGCCCUGGAAAAUCAAAGCUGUAUUCCCUGGGAGAGCUCAGUGAGGUCACCCGGGCUUAUGAGAGAAAUUGUCCAGCAACACAGCAGCAGUCCCUUUGUCAUACCUUGGAUAAGUAAACUUUGACAUGUCCUAGAAGGAAUGCUAUUUGGCUUGGGAGAGAAGAUGGGGCGGGGAGGGUAUCUUCAGAUACUGGGCUGUCAUGUGCACGGGUGUUGCUUAUUGCUUCCAAAGGCAGAAUCAGGAGAAGGAUAGAAAAGGCUAGAUUUGACUCCACACAGAGAAGAGCUUCCUGACUGUCUGGACCAGCACUGUCCAAUAGAAGUAGAAGGUGAGUCACAUAUGUGACUUUAAAUUUUUCCAGUAGCCACAAUAAAGAAGUGAAAAAGGAAAACAGAUGACAUUAAUUUUAACAACACAGCUUAGUCAGCCCGGUCCAAAGUAUUAUCAGUUCAACGUGUCGUCAGUAUCAAAAAUACGAAUGAGCUAUUUUGCAUUCUUCCAUGCUCCGUCUUCAAACCCCAUGUGGAUUUUACACUCAGAGCACAGCUCAGUUUGGACUAGGCCCUUCCAAGGGCUCAUGGGCCAUGUGUGACUGGGGAAUAUCGGACAGCAGGGGUCGGGGUUGUCUCAGAGACAGGAGAGUCCUAUCAGUCGGAUAUGAUGGAAACCAAGUUAAAUAACCCCCAUCGAGGACACGGGGAGGAGUGCCCAUUCACUGAUUAUGUUAGGGACGGUUUUCCCGUCUCCCCUCCCCCUUACCUCGUCUCCACCUGACAGCAUCCGUGCCCUCUGCUCCCAUCCACCCAGAUUAGGGCUGUCAGCGCGGAUACGCCCUCUGGGAGAGAAGAGCAGUUUCCCUGGAGUCUCCUCACUUUCUGUGUGGUUGGGGAUUUUUAAAACAACCUGCAGUGCUCAUCUAAGUAAGGGAAGCUUCCACACCGCAGUGGGAACGACAGGGCGCUUUUAUCCAAGCAUCAAAGACAAGCUGAAACCAAUGUGGAAACUUCCUUGAUUUGAAGGACUGACUGAGUCUCCUGGAUCAGUCGAGAUGGUGAGAAACCAGCAGUUCUUCGGACGUAUUUUCAAGAAACGAGUGAACUUUAGUGAUCACACUGUGUGCGCCCACCUGGCCAGAGUCCGUGCAUCCUGGGUAUGAAUCAUGAUUUUUCUCCGGGGUGGAGCUGUAGGAAAAGGCUUCAUUCUGAAUAAAAGGGGCACCAGGCCAUUUUCCA